GCUCGCAACGUCUUCUCGCUGGUGGUGGGCGGUGCGAGCUGGUCGAGUUGCUGGUUGCUACGUGCGGAGCCGUUAUUUCAUGGCUGCAACGGGCCCGGGGGCUGAGGUGCGGGGGACGGCGCGGCAGGAGCCAGGACGGGCUCCGGGCAAGGUACUGGAUGGAGACCGAGGCAGAAGAGCGGGUGAUCCUCAAUAGGACCUACUAGAGGCUACAGAAAAAAACCUAGGCAGAAUUUUUAAAACGGUGAAAUAGGUUGUUCUAAGGAAGUAAGAUGGAUCCCUGUUCAGUUGGAGUUCAGCUUCGUGCUACCAAUGAAUGUCAUAAGACAUACUAUACUCGACAUACUGGCUUCAAGACUUUGCAAGAAUUGUCAUCAAAUGAUGCACUUUUACUUCAGCUUAGAACCGGAAUGACCCUCUCUGGAAACAAUACAAUUUGCUUCCAUCAUGCAAAAAUUUACAUUGAUCGAUUUGAGGACUUGCAAAAGUCUUGUUGUGAUCCUUUUAACAUACACAAAAAGCUUGCAAAGAAAAAUUUGCAUGCGAUUGACUUAGAUGAUGCCACUUUCCUAAGUGCCAAGUUUGGAAGACAGCUUGUACCUGGUUGGAAGCUUUGUCCAAAAUGCACACAGAUAAUCAAUGGAAGUGUGGAUGUUGAAUCUGAAGAUCGCCAAAAAAGGAAAGCUGAUUCAGACGGAAGGACUGCUAAAGCCUUGCGGUCCUUGCAAUUUGCAAAUCCAGGAAAGCAAACUGAAUUUACUCCAGAAACUGGUAAGAGAGAGAAAAGAAGGCAGACUAAAGCAACCAAUUCUGACAGGCAAGUGAUACCACCAAAGAGCAAAGUCUAUGAUAGCCAGGGCCUCCUGAUAAUAAGUGGGAUGGAUCUCUGUGACUGCCUCGAUGAAGAUUGCCUGGGAUGCUUCUACGCAUGUCCUAAUUGUGGUUCUAACAAGUGUGGAGCUGAAUGCCGCUGUGACAGAAAAUGGCUUUAUGAGCAGAUUGAAAUAGAAGGAGGGGAGAUUAUUCAUAAUAAGCAUGCUGGGUAAUUUGAAGGGCUUGAAUGAGCUUCUCUAUUUCCUUGAAGCUCUAAAAUUCUACUGUAUACUCAGAAUUCAAGCAUGAUAAACAAGUGCCAAGAUUUUAAAAAUAUUAUUACAUGUGAGUGUUUUGUGCUAGGUGUUUUAGAAUUCAUUGUGUUGUGUAUAUUUUAGGUGGACUUCAAAAAAAAUCAGCUUAAGUUCAUUGUGGAUAAAUAAGCAAGCUUAGUAGUUGGGAACAGUGCUUGACUGUACAAUGGGAACUGAUCUUUGUACACCUGUUAAAACCAUUCUGGCAGUUACUCAUGGAUUAGUAAAUGGGAGCAAAAUCUUCAAAGCACUUUAUCAGAUUACAUUCCCUUUAAGUAAAGAAAUCAUGAAAACACAAUUAUUUUGACACUAUCCUAAGCGUUCUUACUCCUUUUCUACCCAGCUUUCUGUCAAAUUAGGGAUUAUUAAUAUUUUAAAAUUUAAACUGUAGCCCAAUAAAUUCUAAACAAAUGUAUAGCUCACUUAAUUUAGCGUUUGGCCUGGCCUUCUAAAUUGAACUUAAAAUUCUGUUGUGAUGUAGAUUCAACUCUGUGACCACCUCUCCACUCCUUCCCCCACGCCCCAUCCAUUUCAAAUUGAAGCCAAAUAAGCCUCUACACCACAUAGAAUUUAGGUUUCCUGUCCAAUCAAGAAGCAUACAUACUGACCUUUAAGAUUUGUGUUCCUGUAAUUCCCUUCAAUACAUUACAGCAGCAUGCUCCUUAGGUGUAGACAAUUUUAGAUUCCUUUUAGAAGAGGUAGAUUUCUCACAAAGAAUUGUAUAUAUGAAAUCUCAAGUUCAUAAAUUGCCUUCAAAUUUAGAGCUGUGUUUCAAAUAUUAUUAGACAACAAAUUUGAAAUGGUGGCACAAAGUCUUUAACACGUUUACUUGGGAAAUUACCUAAAGAACACUCAGUAUCCCUUGCUUGCAGAUUUAGCUUUGAAGAGUCUGCCUUCCAAAGGACUCUCACUUUAAAGAGUUCAUAAGAAAUGUAAAUCCUGCUGGUUUUCUGAAUGGUUAUUUGCAAGGCUGUUGAGAUUUAGUACAUCUUUAAACAGUGAAUCUACAAGUCCAUUUCCUGUUCCUUGUUUGAAAUGAGAGUGCUAUGGAACCUUCAGGUCCUUUUUAUGUUGCUGCUAGACUUCAAGGGACCUGACUUAAAAAAGCAAGUGCUAAAGCUGUACAAAUGUUAAUUUCCGUUCUGUAUGGAUUUUAAUAGAGAAGUCUGUUAACAUGCUAAAAGUUAAAUUGAAAUUAGAAAUACAGGUAUCCAGAUUUUGUGUUUUCAGGUUUUUUGAUGUUGCUAGUUCAAUUGCACUUUUGCAUAAUUGAUUAAGGUGUAAUAUUUUUUUUGUAGUUUUAUUUGACUUUCUACAGAUCUGGUGUCUGUUUAAUUAAUAGCUGUGCUUCUGCAAUGAAUAUCAUACUGAUAGAAUCUAGUGUUAGAGAAUCUAGUUGUAAUUUAAGUCCUUGAUGAGACUUUGUAUACUAGGGCCCCACGGCCCAUACUAAUUUUGCUCUGUUGAUGUGGGCAUGUUCCUUUUUAGCAAUUGUGUUUCCAAGUCUUUAUUAUUCUACUGAGCAUCCAUGUUUAUAUAAGUACUAUAGGUACUAUUCACAUAGGUAUUGUACCUUGUCAGAAUUAUAUUAAAUAUUGAAAUAUCUUAAUGCUAUGUACGUACAUACUUCAGGAGGGAGGUGUUUGAGUUCUUCCUAGUUGAAAGCUUCAGAAGACUUGUCAGUUCAUUGUGGAGACAGUGGUAGGAGCUGUGAUAAUUCACAGAGAAGGAAAUUGUUUUGGAAGUUAAGUUGUUGUCCAGGAAGAUCUUAAUUCGAAAUUGACUUACACUUUGAUGCGUAAUUGUCUUCAUUAUCUCAUUCAUGUGGGUAUUCCAUCCAUCCAUAUGUAGAUUCUACUCAUUCUAUCUUGUGCACUUUGUGUAUCUUCCACAUACUGUCUAAGCUGUACACCAUUAACACAAAAGGAAUAAAUACCUUGAUAGCAGUAUUUACUUUGUCACUACUACUUUUAGAUGUGUGAACCAUUUUCUUGGGCCCAACACAACUACCCUUUGUAGCUGUUUUGCUUUACAAACCAACAUUUUUCGUUAUAUAAAGAUAAAUUAGCAAUGUCCCAGCUUAAUUUUAAUUUUGGCCCUACCAUAACACUCUGCCUUUGUCUAAAUUUUCAAGGGUUUGGAUAAAAAUUUGCCAUAUAGAAGGUCAGAAUUACCACAGAGUGAACUGUUACUACUUGAUUAAUUCAGUUUUUCUCUUUAUAGUUACUUUGUUGCUAAAGGCAUUUUGUUCUGUUGUAAAGUUUGUGUGCAAUUUAUUUGGUUUUUGCUAAUAGCUACUGGAACUAUAAGAAAAUAAACCACACUUCUCAUCCA